rnacentral:rRNA from 1 species
CGGGGUGAGUAAUGUCUGGGAAACUGCCUGAUGGAGGGGGAUAACUGCUGGAAACGGUAGCUAAUACCGCAUAACGUCGCAAGACCAAAGAGGGGGACCUUCGGGCCUCUUGCCAUCGGAUGUGCCCAGAUGGGAUUAGCAGUAGGUGGGGUAACGGCUCACCUAGGCGACGAUCCCUAGCUGGUCUGAGAGGAUGACCAGCCACACUGGAACUGAGACACGGUCCAG